rnacentral:rRNA from 1 species
GUGCCAGCCGCCGCGGUAAUACGGAGGGUGCAAGCGUUAAUCGGAAUUACUGGGCGUAAAGCGCUACGCAGGCGGUCUGUCAAGUCGGAUGUGAAAUCCCCGGGCUCAACCUGGGAACUGCAUUCGAAACUGGCAGGCUAGAGUCUUGUAGAGGGGGGUAGAAUUCCAGGUGUAGCGGUGAAAUGCGUAGAGAUCUGGAGAAUACCGGUGGCGAGGCGCCCCCUGGACAAGACUGACGCUCAGGUGCGAAAGCGUGGGGAGCAAACAGGAUUAGAUACCCUGGUAGUCCACGCCGUAAACGAUGUCGACUUGGAGUUGUGCCCUUGA